GCUUANCAUGCAGUCGAACGAUGAUUAUCUAGCUUGCUAGAUAUGAUUAGUGGCGGACGGGUGAGUAACAUUUAGGAAUCUGCCUAGUAGUGGGGGAUAGCUCGGGGAAACUCGAAUUAAUACCGCAUACGACCUACGGGUGAAAGGGGGCGCAAGCUCUUGCUAUUAGAUGAGCCUAAAUCAGAUUAGCUAGUUGGUGGGGUAAAGGCCCACCAAGGCGACGAUCUGUAACUGGUCUGAGAGGAUGAUCAGUCACACCGGAACUGAGACACGGUCCGGACUCCUACGGGAGGCAGCAGUGGGGAAUAUUGGACAAUGGGGGCAACCCUGAUCCAGCCAUGCCGCGUGUGUGAAGAAGGCCUUUUGGUUGUAAAGCACUUUAAGCAGGGAGGAGAGGCUAAUGGUUAAUACCCAUUAGAUUAGACGUUACCUGCAGAAUAAGCACCGGCUAACUCUGUGCCAGCAGCCGCGGUAAUACAGAGGGUGCGAGCGUUAAUCGGAAUUACUGGGCGUAAAGCGAGUGUAGGUGGCUCAUUAAGUCACAUGUGAAAUCCCCGGGCUUAACCUGGGAACUGCAUGUGAUACUGGUGGUGCUAGAAUAUGUGAGAGGGAAGUAGAAUUCCAGGUGUAGCGGUGAAAUGCGUAGAGAUCUGGAGGAAUACCGAUGGCGAAGGCAGCUUCCUGGCAUAAUAUUGACACUGAGAUUCGAAAGCGUGGGUAGCAAACAGGAUUAGAUACCCUGGUAGUCCACGCCGUAAACGAUGUCUACUAGCCGUUGGGGUCCUUGAGACUUUAGUGGCGCAGUUAACGCGAUAAGUAGACCGCCUGGGGAGUACGGCCGCAAGGUUAAAACUCAAAUGAAUUGACGGGGGCCCGCACAAGCGGUGGAGCAUGUGGUUUAAUUCGAUGCAACGCGAAGAACCUUACCUGGUCUUGACAUAGUGAGAAUCCUGCAGAGAUGCGGGAGUGCCUUCGGGAAUUCACAUACAGGUGCUGCAUGGCUGUCGUCAGCUCGUGUCGUGAGAUGUUGGGUUAAGUCCCGCAACGAGCGCAACCCUUUUCCUUAUUUGCCAGCGGGUUAAGCCGGGAACUUUAAGGAUACUGCCAGUGACAAACUGGAGGAAGGCGGGGACGACGUCAAGUCAUCAUGGCCCUUACGACCAGGGCUACACACGUGCUACAAUGGUAGGUACAGAGGGUUGCUACACAGCGAUGUGAUGCUAAUCUCAAAAAGCCUAUCGUAGUCCGGAUUGGAGUCUGCAACUCGACUCCAUGAAGUCGGAAUCGCUAGUAAUCGCAGAUCAGAAUGCUGCGGUGAAUACGUUCCCGGGCCUUGUACACACCGCCCGUCACACCAUGGGAGUCUAUUGCACCAGAAGUAGGUAGCCUAACGCAAGAGGGCGCUACC
rnacentral:rRNA from 1 species